CCUACGGGGGGCAGCAGUGAGGAAUAUUGGUCAAUGGCCUGAAGGCUGAACCAGCCAAGCCGCGUGAAGGACGAAGGUGCCAAGCAUUGUAAACUUCUUUUGUCAAGGGACAAAAUCAGGCUCGAGAGCCUGACCGAGGGUACUUGAAGAAAAAGCAUCGGCUAACUCCGUGCCAGCAGCCGCGGUAAUACGGAGGAUGCGAGCGUUAUCCGGAUUUAUUGGGUUUGAAGGGUGCGUAGGCGGAUUGAUAAGUUAGAGGUGAAAUGUCCGAGCUCAACUCGGGAACUGCCUCUAAUACUGUUGAU
rnacentral:rRNA from 1 species